rnacentral:rRNA from 1 species
AUUGAACGCUGGCGGCAGGCUUAACACAUGCAAGUCGAGCGGGGUGAUGGUGCUUGCACUAUCACUUAGCGGCGGACGGGUGAGUAAUGCUUAGGAAUCUACCUAUUAGUGGGGGACAACAUCUCGAAAGGGAUGCUAAUACCGCAUACGUCCUACGGGAGAAAGCAGGGGAUCACUUGUGACCUUGCGCUAAGAGAUGAGCCUAAGUCGGAUUAGCUAGUUGGUGGGGUAAAGGCCUACCAAGGCGACGAUCUGUAGCGGGUCUGAGAGGAUGAUCCGCCACACUGGGACUGAGACACGGCCCAGACUCCUACGGGAGGCAGCAGUGGGGAAUAUUGGACAAUGGGGGGAACCCUGAUCCAGCCACGCCGCGUGUGUGAAGAAGGCCUUAUGGUUGUAAAGCACUUUAAGCGAGGAGGAGGCUCUUUUGGUUAAUACCCAAGAUGAGUGGACGUUACUCGCAGAAUAAGCACCGGCUAACUCUGUGCCAGCAGCCGCAGUAA